rnacentral:tRNA from 2 species
CAGAAGGUAAUUUAAGUAAAAAUGCUGAUUUUGGGGAUCAGUUUUGGCUUGCCCCCUUUUGA